UACGGAGGGUGCAAGCGUUAUCCGGAUUUACUGGGUUUAAAGGGUGUGUAGGCGGACUUUUAAGUCAGGGGUGAAAUCUCCGAGCUCAACUCGGAAACUGCCUUUGAUACUAUUAGUCUUGAAUUAUGUUGAGGUUGGCGGAAUAUAACAUGUAGCGGUGAAAUGCAUAGAGAUGUUAUAGAACACCGAUUGCGAAGGCAGCUGGCUAAACAUAUAUUGACGCUGAGGCACGAAAGCGUGGGUAGCGAACAGG
rnacentral:rRNA from 1 species